GGGGAAUAUUGCGCAAUGGGGGGAACCCUGACGCAGCAACGCCGCGUGAGUGAAGAAGGCCUUCGGGUCGUAAAACUCUGUCAUUAGGGAAGAAGACGUGACGGUACCUAAUGAGGAAGCCCCGGCUAACUACGUGCCAGCAGCCGCGGUAAUACGUAGGGGGCGAGCGUUGUCCGGAAUCACUGGGCGUAAAGGGUGCGUAGGCGGCCUGAUAAGUCAGAUGUGAAAUACCAGGGCUCAACCCUGGGGGUGCAUUUGAAACUGUUGGGCUUGAGUGCAGGAGAGGAAAGUGGAAUUCCUAGUGUAGCGGUGAAAUGCGUAGAGAUUAGGAGGAACACCAGUGGCGAAGGCGACUUUCUGGACUGUAACUGACGCUGAGGCACGAAAGCGUGGGUAGCGAACA
rnacentral:rRNA from 2 species